rnacentral:rRNA from 1 species
UACGUAGGGUGCGAGCGUUGUCCGGAAUUACUGGGCGUAAAGGGCUCGUAGGCGGCCAACUAAGUCGGAUGUGAAAUCCCCAGGCUUAACCUGGGAACUGCAUCCGAUACUGGAUGGCUUGAAUCCGGGAGAGGGAUGCAGAAUUCCAGGUGUAGCGGUGAAAUGCGUAGAUAUCUGGAGGAAUACCGGUGGCGAAGGCGGCAUCCUGGACCGGCAUUGACGCUGAGUGAGCGAAAGCCAGGGGAGCAAACGGG